UACGGGGGGAGCAAGCGUUGUUCGGAUUUACUGGGCGUAAAGGGCGCGUAGGCGGCCACCGCAAGUCGACUGUGAAAUCUCCGGGCUUAACUCGGAAAGGUCAGCCGAUACUGCGGGGCUAGAGUGCAGAAGGGGCAACUGGAAUUCUCGGUGUAGCGGUGAAAUGCGUAGAUAUCAGGAGGAAUACCGGUGGUGUAGACGGCUCUCUGGACCGCCACUGACGCUGAGACACGAAAGCGUGGGUAGCAAACAGG
rnacentral:rRNA from 1 species